AGUGUCUCUUAUGUCCUAUAGUCCAAAUCAUGAUUUGAAUGCAUGGAUAUGCAAGUGUGGGGAACACAGUUUGUGACCCCCUGAAAUGAAGUAGAAAUAAAGUGGGAAGUCAGAGAAUGUUUUUAUUAUUAUUAAUUAUUAUUAUUAUUAUUAUUAUUAUUAUUGUUAAAAGAAACACAUUUAAAAAAUAGGAGCAAGAGAUAUACAAGGCAGAACAAAAGAAGCCAAAAGGGUGAACUGACACUUAAGCACUAUCAGAGACGUCUCAUAAAAUAAAGAAGCCAAUGAAGUCCAACUGGCUCCGAAACGAUAUCGUGCCGCAUCAGAUACCAUGAAGGAAGAGCAGAGAAAUAGCCAAUAAGCACAGAGGCUAAGGCUAUACAGCUGUAUCGAUGAUCCGUGGACCUCUGUCUUUGAGGGGAGUGGAAGGGGUGUGAGAGAGACAGCUCACACCUCUCUGGAGCCCAGUGAGAUCGCUGCCUGACCUACACAGCUGGCAGAAGUAACUCGACCAACUGGCGAGUCAGGCAUUGCUUCUUGAGGGAUUGGUCCCCUCGAGACAGAAACUUCUGUUCUAAUUUCGGCAAAAGAGAAUUUUCUCAUGGAGGGCUCUGGUUUGCAGCAUUUCUGAAGAGUGAGGUCUACACUCCAGCUAAUGCCUCAUCGUGCUUGAGGAUGGACGACAUCUACUGUGACUGACUACACAGAAAGACCCUGUCUUGAAAGGACAGGAGUCCAGUUGGCUGUUUUAUUGCACUGUCUCUGGUGAGAAAGAGCUGCAAUUGAAGAUAUUUUAUGCUCUUAAUGAAGUUGACAGUGGCUUAUAAUAUAGACUCCAUGAGAGAAAGUUAAUGUAGUGUUAGACAUCAAGUAAGUGUUAAUUAAAAUGUUCUAACAAUGUAUUGCUUUCUCGGAACAUAUCCUUGUUAUCAUUUAAGAGACA